rnacentral:rRNA from 1 species
GACGAACGCUGGCGGCGUGCUUAACACAUGCAAGUCGAACGGAAAGGCCCUGCUUUUGUGGGGUGCUCGAGUGGCGAACGGGUGAGUAACACGUGAGUAACCUGCCCUUGACUUUGGGAUAACUUCAGGAAACUGGGGCUAAUACCGGAUAGGAGCUCCUGCUGCAUGGUGGGGGUUGGAAAGUUUCGGCGGUUGGGGAUGGACUCGCGGCUUAUCAGCCUGUUGGUGGGGUAGUGGCUUACCAAGGCUUUGACGGGUAGCCGGCCUGAGAGGGUGACCGGCCACAUUGGGACUGAGAUACGGCCCAGACUCCUACGGGAGGCAGCAGUGGGGAAUAUUGCACAAUGGGCGGAAGCCUGAUGCAGCAACGCCGCGUGCGGGAUGACGGCCUUCGGGCUGUAAACCGCUUUCGCCUGUGACGAAGCGUGAGUGACGGUAAUGGGUAAAGAAGCACCGGCUAACUACGUG